rnacentral:rRNA from 1 species
CCAAUAGCGUAUAUUAAAGUUGUUGCAGUUAAAAAGCUCGUAGUUGAAUUUCGGGAUUGACACAUCGGUCGUGCCUUAAGGGGUAUGAACUGGUGUAGUCGAUUUCUCACCUUCUGGAGAACCGCAAUGCCCUUAAUUGGGUGUCGCGGGGAACCAGGACCUUUACUUUGAAAAAAUUAGAGUGUUUAAAGCAGGCAUUUUGCUUGAAUACAUUAGCAUGGAAUAAUAAAAUAGGACGGAUGAUUCUAUUUUGUUGGUUUCUAGGACCACCGUAAUGAUUAAUAGGGAUAGUUGGGGGCAUUAGUAUUCAAUUGUCAGAGGUGAAAUUCUUGGAUUUAUUGAAGACUAACUACUGCGAAAGCAUUUGCCAAGGAUGUUUUCAUUAAUCAAGAACGAAAGUUAGGGGAUCGAAGACGAUCAGAUACCGUCGUAGUCUUAACCAUAAACUAUGCCGACUAGGAAUCAGACGAUGUUAAUUUUUUAAUGACUCGUUUGGCACCUUACG